rnacentral:rRNA from 1 species
GACGAACGCUGGCGGCGUGCCUAAUACAUGCAAGUCGAGCGAGUCUGCCUUGAAGAUCGGAGUGCUUGCACUCUGUGAAACAAGAUACAGGCUAGCGGCGGACGGGUGAGUAACACGUGGGUAACCUGCCCAAGAGAUCGGGAUAACACCUGGAAACAGAUGCUAAUACCGGAUAACAACAGAUGAUGCCUAUCAACUGUUUAAAAGAUGGUUCUGCUAUCACUCUUGGAUGGACCUGCGGUGCAUUAGCUAGUUGGUAGGGUAACGGCCUACCAAGGCGACGAUGCAUAGCCGACUUGAGAGACUGAUCGGCCACACUGGGACUGAGACACGGCCCAAACUCCUACGGGAGGCAGCAGUAGGGAAUCUUCCACAAUGGACGCAAGCCUGAUGGAGCAACGCCGCGUGAGUGAAGAAGGGUUUCGGCUCGUAAAGCUCUGUUGUUGGUGAAGAAGGACAGUGGUAGUAACUGACCUUUGUUUGACGGUACUCAAUUAGAAAGUCACGGCUAACUACGUG